UCUCCGUAGGUGAACCUGCGGAGGGAUCAUUACAGGGUUCAUGCCCUACCGGGUAGAUCUCCCACCCUAUGUUAUUAUUACUUUGUUGCUUUGGCGGGCCGUUAGGCUCCGGCCCGACUACCGGCCCCGGCUGGUAAGCGCCCGCCAGAGGACCCAAAACCCUGAAUAUUAGUGUCGUCUGAGUACUAUAUAAUAGUUAAAACUUUCAACAACGGAUCUCUUGGUUCUG
rnacentral:misc_RNA from 1 species